rnacentral:rRNA from 1 species
GAUGAACGCUGGCGGCGUGCCUAAUACAUGCAAGUCGAGCGAGCAGACGAGGAGCUUGCUCCUCUGACGUUAGCGGCGGACGGGUGAGUAACACGUGGAUAACCUACCUAUAAGACUGGGAUAACUUCGGGAAACCGGAGCUAAUACCGGAUAAUAUAUUGAACCGCAUGGUUCAAUAGUGAAAGACGGUUUUGCUGUCACUUAUAGAUGGAUCCGCGCCGCAUUAGCUAGUUGGUAAGGUAACGGCUUACCAAGGCAACGAUGCGUAGCCGACCUGAGAGGGUGAUCGGCCACACUGGAACUGGGACACGGUCCAGACUCCUACGGGAGGCAGCAGUAGGGAAUCUUCCGCAAUGGGCGAAAGCCUGACGGAGCAACGCCGCGUGAGUGAUGAAGGUCUUCGGAUCGUAAAACUCUGUUAUUAGGGAAGAACAAAUGUGUAAGUAACUAUGCACGUCUUGACGGUACCUAAUCAGAAAGCCACGGCUAACUACGUG